AGGGAUCAUUACCGAGUUUACAACUCCCAAACCCCUGUGAACAUACCACUUGUUGCCUCGGCGGAUCAGCCCGCUCCCGGUAAAACGGGACGGCCCGCCAGAGGACCCCUAAACUCUGUUUCUAUAUGUAACUUCUAAGUAAAACCAUAAAUAAAUCAAAACUUUCAACAACGGAUCUCUUGGUUCUGGCAUCGAUGAAGAACGCAGCAAAAUGCGAUAAGUAAUGUGAAUUGCAGAAUUCAGUGAAUCAUCGAAUCUUUGAACGCACAUUGCGCCCGCCAGUAUUCUGGCGGGCAUGCCUGUUCGAGCGUCAUUUCAACCCUCAAGCACAGCUUGGUGUUGGGACUCGCGUUAAUUCGCGUUCCCCAAAUUGAUUGGCGGUCACGUCGAGCUUCCAUAGCGUAGUAGUAAAACCCUCGUUACUGGUAAUCGUCGCGGCCACGCCGUUAAACCCCAACUUCUGAAUGUUGACCUCGGAUCAGGUAGGAAUACCCGCUGAACUUAAGCAUAUCAAUAAGCGGAGGAAAUC
rnacentral:rRNA from 1 species